rnacentral:lncRNA from 1 species
CCACCAUUGGACUUGCUUUGCAAGCCAAUCAGAAUUCAAACCAUAGCAUGCUUUUGCCAACAACACAGGGAAGACAGGACUGCACGAAGAGAACUGGAGCAUGCCCAAGGGGAGAAAGGCAUGGUGUGGACAGCCCAGCUAAUUUGAAUUAGCAAUGAUUCAUUAGGCAAUUAUUAAACACAUAUCUUGGGAGAAUUACUUACUCUGAAGAAUUUGAGCUCUACUCUGAAAGAGCUAAUACUCUGGGGAAGUUAACAAGAACGGUUCAGUACAAGGAAGGAAAGGACACAGCUAAGUAUGAAAUCCAGACUGCAGUCCUGGGCAUAAUGGAGAGAGAGCACCUUGAGCAGAGGCAGGCUAGAGCACUGAGGACAGACAGCUUGGGGGCUCAAAGCCUCAGGCAGGUGUGAUUUGUGACCAUGGAGUGCAGCAGGACUUGAAAACAGAGUAGCCACUGGGGACUCAUCACUCAAGUACUGACUGCUUUCAAAAACCGUGAAGAGAAGGUUGGCUUGCUUUUAAACUAUAUAUUCAGGAUAUCGGGCACCAACUUCAACACAAAAUUAUACUGAGAGAUCUUAAAUAAAAGGGUCAGAUGUGGCACAAUAAGAUUUUAUUUUACUUUAGGUAUUUAUUUUGUGAUAUGCAUGUUUUGCCUCCAUGCAUGCAUGUCCACUAUGUGCACGUCUGGUAUCCUGGAGGUCAGAAGACAGCACCUGGCUAUGGAGUUCAUGACAGUUGUGAGCUGCCAUGUGAAGCUGGGAAUUAAACCCAUGCACUCUGCAAGAGCAGACAGUGCUUUUAGCCACUAAACAAUCUCUCCCUCCCCACAAUAAGAUUCAGAUUACAGUUUCAAGCAUAUGUUUUGCUUUAAUUUCAUCUAAACCAAGUGUUCUCAACGUGCGGGUCGCAGCCCCCUUGUGUCUCUAUCCCUUUGUGUUGAAUAACCAUCUCACAGGGGCUUCCUAAGACCAUCAGAAAACACAGGUAACAUUACUCUUCAUAACAGUAGCAAAAUUACAAUCAUGAGGAACUGUAUUAAAGGGUCACAUUAUUUGGAAGGUUGAGAACUACUGAUCUAGAUUUAGAGUUGUGAUCCUCCUGCCUUACUUUGCUACCAAGAUUACAAAUGUCCACCAUUACACUGGCUCAACUAUAUUUCCUAUAACUGUUCUUAAAUGUGUGUAAUGAUAAUUAAUUAUAAGGAAC